CAGUAUCAUGAAGAAGCCAAUGCAAGGCCUUCAUCAUCUUCAUUUCAAGGCUUAGGCCGAGUUUCCUGGGAAUCCUGUGAAUCCUUGGAGGUAGGUUGCUUAAAUAGCCGAAGUUUAAAACUCUCCAGAAUGCACAGCUAAGCUAGGUUCCCAGGGUCGCGCG
rnacentral:lncRNA from 1 species